rnacentral:rRNA from 1 species
GACGAACCGUGCGAACGUUGUUCGGAAUCACUGGGCUUAAAGGGCGCGUAGGCGGCAGACCAAGUCCGGGGUGAAAGCCCCCAGCUCAACUGGGGAAGUGCCUUGGAUACUGGUUUGCUGGAGGGAGGUAGGGGUCGAGGGAACUUCUGGUGGAGCGGUGAAAUGCGCAGAUAUCAGGAGGAACACCAGCGGCGAAGGCGGCGCUCUGGGCUGGAACUGACGCUGAGGAGCGAAAGCGUGGGGAGCGAACAGG